AAAACUAAUUUAAUUCUGUGCGGUGGCCACCAAUGCGGCGGCGCUACGGUAUUUUCCCCACAUUCACCACCAAAAGUUCGGUGUUUGUACAGUAGUACGACGUGUAGGACUCUGUAUAGUACUUGUCUUAUGGAAAAUUUGUACAGCGUGACACAAGACGUUCCUGGAACUUUGUUCCGGAUUCGUCUGUCAGAUGGCUGAAUCCUCAGAGUUGUGAUUUUUUUAUUAGUGAAAAAUGAUAAAUUAGUGUUUUUUCAAGCAAUUGACCAGCAGGAUUCCAGAGAACAGUACAGAGUAUUUCACAACAAAUUUCAAAACUUCGAAACUGGACAUUAUUGUUAACAACGUGAUUGGAAGAUGAAAGAACACCCUGGAAUUCCACGUAUUCUAAUAUAGCUCAGAGAAACUGGAGUAAACCGAGUUAGCACUUAUUGAGAGCCAGCAGACGAUAAUCAGUCAAAUGACGAGAAGGACGCACAUAAGGAAACACAGGCGGUUAAGGAAACAUCGGCAGAAAACAUAACUUCUAAUUAAUUUAAAUAUAUUGUUUAAAUUUUCUCCGUUUUGUAUGGUAUUCGCACUUUCACGAUUUGAGUAGCACAAUAUGCAUGGAUUAAUACAUUUUUAAUAAAACACUUUUUUUUAAUAAAAUAUUAAUCAAUAGUUAAUUAUUAUUGAAAGAAAUUGUGUUUUGUGCCUAAUUAUAAUCUAAUUUUUAUCACUAGAAUGAAUGAAACGCCACUCUUUAAUAAUCUUUUUAAGAAAAUCAGCAAAAAAUAUUUAUGAAAAUUUAAAAUUAAGGAAAAUGUUCAGUGUAAACCUUUUUAAGAUAAAACCGGAUUUAAAAUGUACACAAUUUUCUAUCUAAUUAUGUAAUGAAAAAUUAAAAAAUCCCAAAAAUGCUCAAAAUGCCACUAAAAUCGCGAAAGUACGAUAUAAAUAACAUAAAAAUUUGUAAUUAAAUUAAUUAAUUGUAUUUUAUAAAUUUAAAUGCAAAUAAAUUUAAUUUUAGUAUAUAUUUUAGAUUUAUUAUUAAAAAUACGGUUAAAACCGGUAAAAA